rnacentral:rRNA from 1 species
AUGGACCCCGCCGCGCCGGACCCCGACGGCGGAGGCCUCCCGGCGCGCGGAUCCGACGCCGCCGACGUCGCCGGCAACACAUGGGACCUCGCCCCCUUCUCGCCGCCGCCCGCCGCGCUCCGCGGCGGCGAGCUCUACAUCUACCGCAACGCCUACAACCUCGUCCCCCGCUCCAUCGGCGAGUGCCGCGGGGGGCUCAGGGCGCUCAAGUUCUUCGGCAACGACGUCGAGGUGCUGCCCCCGGAGGCCGGGGACCUGGACGGGCUACAGAGCCUCCAGCUCAAGGUCUCCGCGCCCAGGGUCUCCGGGGCCGUGCUCCGCCGGAUGCGGGCGCUCAGGGAGCUCGAGCUCUCCUUGGUGCCGCCCAGGCCCUCGGCCUGCUCCAUACUCGUCGAGAUCGCCAGCCUCAAGUGCCUCACCAAGCUCACCAUCUGCCACUUCUCCAUCAGGUUCCUCCCCCCUGAGAUUGGCUCCCUCAGGAAGCUCCAAGAACUUGAUCUGUCUUUCAACAAGCUGAAGAACUUGCCUAACUGGAUAACCGAGUUGCGGGCCCUGAAAUUCCUCAAAGUGACUAAUAAUAAGUUGGUAGAUUUACCAUCAGGGAUCUCUUCUUUGAGAUGUCUUGAAAGCCUUGACUUAUCGAACAAUAGAUUGACAUCCCUUGGAUCAGUUGAACUAGUCUCUAUGCUUACACUGCAGUAUCUUAAUCUUCAGUUUAAUAGGAUUUCCCAUUCUUUUAUGAUACCCUCUUGGGUAUGCUGUGACAUGAGGGAAAAUGGUGAAAUUCCUUUGAAGAGUGACAGGCUACAACGUCUAGGUAUCGCAAGCAUAAAAAGUUCAGCAGAACCUAGACCUGCAAGUCAUGCUUGCAAUGGCGUGCUCUCAUGCUCACCCACAGAUAUUUCCCCAAAUUUAAAAGCUCAUUCCGCACAGAAAAUGAAGAAGGGCUGGAAGCGACGGGAUUGCCUGCAACAGCAGGCUCGCCAGGAGCGUUUGGAGUCCAGCAGGAGCAGGCUUUGUGAAAAUGACAUUGAUGAAAUGGCUGUGAACAUGACCGAAGAUGAUAUGGAAAACAGGCCAGUGAUGAAAGACAUUGUUGAAGAAAGUUCAGCACAGGAUUUGAAAGAAACAAGUUCUAUAUCUGAAGACCUAUCUUGCAUAAUCGAUUAUGACUCAGAUGGGCUUAUAAAAGAUAGUGGCAUGAUGCUUCAGGACCAAUAUGACGAUGGAAAAACUGGAAUAAAUAUGAGAAGUUGUCAUGACAACAAUUCUGGUAUCAGCACCGAUGCAGCUUGUCUGGGCAGUAUUGAAAAUGAACUUGAGGAUACCGCUUCAUCAACCCGCAAUGCAGUUGAAGUUGCUGAAGAGAACACUUCAGAGGCAUCUAAGCUUACACUGAAAUCUAAAAGGCAUCCUGAUAUGGACUAUAAUCCCAAACCCAGCAAAUGCCCGAGACCAAUUGAUGAAUCCUCGAAGUUAUCCUAUAAGUACAGUGUGGAAUCAUUUUGCAGCAUAGAUGACCAUUUACCGGAUGGAUUUUAUGAUGCGGGACGAGAUAUGCCAUUCAUGCCAUUAGAGGAGUACGAACGGAGUCUCGGACUGUAUGCGCGUGAAGUUAUUCUUUUGGACAGAGAACAAGAUGAAGAAUUGGACACAAUUGCUUCUUCAGCACAACUGUUAUUAUCCAGUUUGAAGAGGCCAAGUUAUUCUGAAACUGAUGAAGAUGCAGGUCAGGACUUGCUAAGGGCAUCAGUUCUUGCUUUGUUUGUCUCUGACUGUUUUGGAGGUUGUGAUCGAAGUGCUUCUCUGAGGAGAACACGGGGAGCUAUUGUUAGCUUGAGGAAGGAGCAACCGUUCAUUUGUACUUGUGCUGCUGGUAGCAUGUGUGAUAGCAAUGAAGCAUCAAAACAAGCCAGUACUCCUCCUGGGCACUUCAAUUUUACUGGUCUCUGUGAUAAAUCAAUACACAUCAUCAAGGAAAGGAAUAAUUCAGGCAUUGUACCAAUAGGGGCAUUGCAGUUUGGUGUUUGUAGGCACCGAGCUGUCCUGAUGAAGUAUUUGUGUGACCGGGCGGAUCCUCCAGUUCCUUGUGAGCUUGUGAGGGGGCAUCUUGACUACACGCCUCAUGCUUGGAAUGUUGUCCCUGUUAGACAAGGGAAUAUCUUGGUAAGGAUGAUUGUUGAUGCGUGUUACCCCACGAACAUAAAGGAAGAGACAGAUCCAGAGUACUUCUGCAGGUAUGUUCCGCUCAGUCGACUGCAUGUUGCGCUUGACGAUGAAGGCUAUACGCCUCGGUCUUCCUUCCCUUCAGUCUCACUAUGCAAAGAAAUUGAAGCUACAGCUUCCAGUGCUGUCUACCACUGCAAAAUUGGUUCAGUCGAUGCAGCAGCAAAGAUACGGUACCUAGAUACCCGGCGUGCUUCUAAUGAUGAAGUAAAAAAAUUUGAAUACAAGCUUCUUGGGGAAGUAAGAAUGAUGAAUGCUCUAAGGAAGCACAGAUCCAUAGUGGACAUAUAUGGUCAUCAACUUUCUUCUAAAUGGGUUCAAGAUGAUAGUGAUAAGGAGUACAGGAUAAUGCAGUCUGUAAUUUUAAUGGAAUAUGUGAAAGGAGGUUCACUGAAGGGCUAUUUGACAAAAUUACUAAAAGAGGGCAAGAAACAUGUACCUGUGGACCUGGCAUUUUACAUUGCUCGAGAAGUUGCUUGUGCCUUGUUGGAGAUGCACAGGAAGCUAGUUAUUCACCGGGACAUAAAAAGCGAGAAUGUUUUGGUUGAUCUGGAUUCGAAGAGGAGUCAUGGGACACCAGUAGUCAAACUCUCUGAUUUUGACAGAUCCAUUCCUGUGCAUUCUCUAUCCCAUACAUGCUGUAUAGCUCACCAUGGCACAUAUCCACCAAAUGUUUGUGUUGGGACACCUUGUUGGAUGGCCCCAGAGGUUCUUCAGGCCAUGCAUGAGAAAACCCAGUAUGGACUGGAAGUGGAUAUCUGGUCAUAUGGAUGUUUUAUAUUCGAGAUGCUUACACUUCAUAUACCCUACGAGGGACUACCAGAUUCAGAAAUAUAUGAUCUCAUAAAGAGGAAGAAACAAAGGCCAAGGCUAACUAAAGAAUUAGAAGCGUUCUGGACAGUGGACGAGCCAAUUACGAGGCUAAAGUUGGGGAUCACAUCUGAUGCUCAUGCAGAGAAACUGAGAUUUCUAAUUGAUCUAUUCUACGAGUGCACCAGAGGAACCGCAUCUAGGCGCCCCAAGGCCGAGCAAAUUUACAAUUCGCUUUGCUCCUUGCCCACAUGCUAUGACCUGAGCUGA